CCAGAUAUUGGAAACAGAGAGGAAGAAAAUGAAGCACGCCGCACAACCCGAUCCUAAGACAACUUCUCAGCAAAAUAAAUCGGCAAAAGACAAGAGCAUAAAAAAUAAUAGGUAAUCAUGGUGUGAAAGGAUUUCGGUACGCUUCAGAAGUUUAGCAACGACACUACUUAAAAUCCAAUAAAAACGCAUAAAAGCUAUUCUUUUAAUAUUUUGUUUUAAUUCACAAAUCGCUUUAUCCGUCAUAGGUCUAUGUUUUUUUCCUUUUUUUUAUUUUACUUGAUUAGAAGCUCUCUCGCUCUCCCUUUCUCUCCAUCUCCCCAGCAUGACUCUAUUCCUAUUCGUUCAAUACGCUUUUACCUUCUACUAAUUCCUUCUCAAAUAUGCCACAAAAAAGAAAACCGUUCCGUUUUCGCUACUAAUUCCGCCUACAAAAAAAGUCCACGAUCUCUGAAUCGAUCCGAUUUCAACAUCCACCUUCUGUAACCGUUUCGUUUCCAGUCACAAAUGAAUUUAUACAACCGAAUAUCGACCAUCAUGGUGUUACAUUACCCGAUCCUCGUUUAAUAUAAAGUGCUAACGAUUCUCCGUUUUCGUAUUCGCCGCUUUUAUAGCAUCAUUGAUUUGCUCGUUUCUAAUGACAUUCCGUUUCGACCUCAUCCGUGCGCGUUAUCACUUUAACGGAUGUGGUUAAAGCGUCCUUUUAUCUCUCUUAUAUACUUUUUUGUUUGUUUUAUACUUAUAUUGAGUUGUCCGUGUUUCGAACACGCACUGAUGAAAAUGUUUCGAGUUUAGCCUACGGUAUGUUUGUCGGUGAUUUGUUUGUAUGUAGAUGUGUUAUGUUUAUGUGUAUGCAUGGUAGCUGGAUUUUGUUUUAUUCGAACUGUUAUUUUUUGUUUGUUUAAUUACAGCUGAUUUUUUUCAUGUUUGGCUUUUACACGCUAAUUACGAUUUGGUAUAGUUUGAUGUAUUUGUCCUAACUUUUUUUUCAUGUCUAUAUAUUAUUUAUUUUAUACGACGUGUUCCAUUAUCCGCCGUUUUUUAAUGAUUAAAAUUCAAUUACUAUGGUAUGCACAAUUUCAACAACAAAAAAAUGGAUUAUGGAUGUAUUCAAGUUUGGAUGGUACACUAAUUUGAAAAGUUAUGACAAAACGAUGAAUUGGGUUUAAAAAUGCACUUUCAUUCAUCUGUACAGACAUUUUUCUUGAUGAUGCAACUUACACAUACAUGAAACAAUUACAGCGAAAGAGUGGCAUUAUGGUGAUAUGGACGUUGUAAUACCAUGUUAUAGGGCAGAUUACGUCUUCGUCAAAUUCCUAUGCCUAUUAUCGUAAGGGGGUAAAUAAAGUGGUUGUGUGCUCUUUUUUGUCCAAAACAAAUUGGCAUUCAAAUACUUUAUUUAAAUAACGAAAAAAGGUAUGGAAAAUGGCGAAGGUGUUACUUCUCCUACAUAUUUGAAGAAGGUUGUUUAUGAAUAUUGUAACUAGGUAUUUGAUGAAGCGGUAGUUAGCGGUAGCAAUUGUAUGAUACUUGAUGAAAAGCUUCAAUCUAAUCGGAUUAUAGACUUUCCGGUCCAGAAUUUAAAAGGUACGACAGCUGUGUGGAAGAGCUCAAAGAACACUAAAUUUAAGAUAAUACUUAGCGGAAAUUUAUGUUUUUCGAUCAUUUUGAAUGCAUUGCUUUAUUUCAGUGUUAUGAGAAUUUAGGAAUUUAAUUUAAGUUCAUCUGUCGUUGAACUAAAGAUUAUAGUUUAUAUGUUUUGUUUCACACAUUUUAGAUCAUCCGUGACUCGCCCGGGGUGAGAUUUGAGCUCAAGUCUUUCAGCAUGAGAAACAUGGAUGCUAACCAUUUACGCCAGGCCCGUAUUCAGUUAAACAUUAUGAAUGCAAAAUCAGAAAUCAAAUUGAUUUAAUUGAAAACAAGAUUAGUUUUCCGUUUGAUUCAACAGUGUAAAAUUUUGCUCUCAUUUUUGUUUUGUUAACCGUUAAGUCAACCAAAAUGAGAUCAACUGGAGUUUUCAAAAUAAGUUACAUCAUAACAGCACAUUUUGAUUUUGAUUUGAUCUCCAGCUUUGCUCGGGCAAUCAAAACAGUUUCCAUUAAUGAUCAUACAACUGCAUACGCAUUUUUAUAUAUAUACGAUGGAUCAACAAGCUGGAUGACAACAUGCAUUUUAUGUUUGAGAUAUCAGAGAUUAAAUACAGUCCGAAACUUGCUGGCGAUUGUACCUUAGCGUUAUUUAGUCUGUAUAUAGCAAUAGAUAUGAUCAUGUGAUGUUCAAUGAUUAUUUACGAUGACAAUUGUUCUGGAAUCAGACUUAUCGUGACUCGUGUUUUUCGCAUUACUCCUCUUCUAUAGCUACUGAAUUGUUUCAAUUGAAUUAGAUUCAUUGUUUCUUUU